AUAUUUCCUCUGCAGCUGCACAGGCCGGCAGGCAGCCUGUGAUGGGGGCCUGCUCAGGAGACCCCCACCUCUGCUGGGCCUCCAGGCUCCUGGGAUUCACCAGCCUCCUCCUCAGAUCACACCUUUUGUAGCUCACAGAGCUCUUGCUGCCUUCCUUCUCCUUCUAUGUCUUCUUCCAUCUUCCUCACAGCUCGGCUCACCAUCAGCUUUUGGGUGGAUCCUCCCUGAAGCCUGUGGGCUGAGCCUCUUCUCUCCCUGGUUCCUGGUUCCUGUUUUUCCAGCACAUGGGGAGUCUGGCUGGGCUGCUGUUUAACCCUCAGCUGUCCAGAAGUCCCUGCCCUGACAAACCCCUUUAAGUACCUUUUUCGCCUUUCCCCGUAGAGGAAAGUUGGAGGAACUGCUCAGAUCCUGGGGAUGAGACAGUAGUGCUGGGAGCGGAGCUCCUGGGGAGGACAGGGCAGGAUAGGGGAGGUGAUGGGCAGCUCCUGCAGGGGAGAAGCACUGGGCUGGGAGAGAGGAGCCCUGCCUCCAGGUGUGGCUCUUCCAUGAGUGCCCCAGGACACGUUCACCCCCUGGGGGGCCUCCUCCACUGUGACAGGAGGGGUCUGGGCAGAUUUCCUCUAAGGCCUAACCUGGAGGUGAUGCCUGAUUAGGUGACUUAGUGAUUAAAUGAAUACAAAGGAAUAUCUGAAAUACCUGUGCAUAUGAGCACUGGCACAAACUAUUCUCUGUUUCUAGUGAGAGCCAGGAAUGGGAGUAAGUACAGCAGUAGGGAGGAAGGCCUGAAAUAAUAAGAAUUUAUUGAACUGGAGAGAGGACUGGGACCUUGGAAGAUAGAGGCCUACCCAGACAGAUGGAUCCUGAUCUGGUGGAAGAAGCAAACUGAUCAUCUUUUCAGGAUAAGACACUUUCCCUGGUCCUCUGGCUCAGGGUCUCCCAGGCUGAAAUCAAGGUCUUGGCUGGGGCUGUGUCAGCUCAGGGUCACCUGGGAAGGAUCUGCUUCCAAGCCCACUCAUGUGAUUGCUGAUUGGAGGCAGUUCCUGUGGUUGUUGGACUGAAGUCUCAGUUCCUCCCUGGAUGUUGGCCGGAGGCUCCCUUAUUUCCUUGUCACAUGGGCUGCUCCAUAGCUCAGCUGACAACAUGGCAGCUGGGUUUCUCAGAGUGAGCAAGAGAGAGAGAGAGAGAGAGGGGAGUCAUGGUCUCCUAUAACCUAGUAUCACUGAGUGACAUUCAUCACGUCUGCUGUGGUCCAUUUCUUAGAAGCCAGUCUCUAGGUGCAGCGCACACUCUAGGGCAGGGAGUUACACAAAGAUGUGAACAUGAAAAGACACUUAAGAAGCUCCUCUUACAGUUAUGCAUUUGGUGUUGACAGAAACUCUGCUAGGUGCUUUUGAUCCAUGAUCUCUUUCAGUUUAUACUGUCAUUAUGAAGCAGAUGAGGAAACUGCAGGGUGGCAAGUUUAAGUUACCUAUUCGAGGUUACAAUUCACUACAACUUGGAUUUAAUUCUAGAAUUGCUUCAAAUUCAUUUUACUAGGAUGCCUCCUGAGGAUCAAGGGAAUAUAUUGGAUGAGUUUCAUUUAAAAGAUGGGUUCUGUGGUUUUCUCCUUUAUUGUUCCUGAAAAAAAAAAUACAUUUCCUGUUUCCAAUGGCCUAGGCAUCUGCAGCACUGGGGUCAAGAGUUCUGGAGCACAUGAUUCUGGAGUUCAGGAUUCUGGAGCUCACAUUCCUCUGCAUGGGAUCCGAGGAGGUUCUGUGUUGUUUCAUGUGACUAAGAAGCAAGAAGCUGAGCUGACGGAGGUCACAUGGGGCUUUGGCCCAGAGUCAAACUACAGAGUCCUGCUGAAAGUCUGUGCUGGGGGAGAUGCUCCAACCUGGGUCAGCCUCCAGGACAAGUACCAGCAGAGGGUCCAUGUGCCCAACAUGACAACCCUGAAGAUUGAGAACCUGACCUCUGAGGACAGUGGGCAGUACCGGGCUCGAGCCAGCUUCACUGGGGGACUAGAAUUUAACCAAGUUUUCCUCCUCACUGUCUAUGAGCCUGUGCCCCUGCCCCAGAUCCUGUCCAAGUCAUCAUCCAUCACUCCAGGCUGGUGCAAUGUCACCCUGGAGUGCAGAGCCUCAGGGGUCACAGAGGACCUGAAGGUGACCUGGGAGAGCAAGGGCCUCCCCAGGGAGCUGGAGCAGAGAAUGACCCCGGGACCAGCCUCCAACUCCUCUACUCUGACUGUGAGCCUGCCUCUCAGCCAGCCCAGCGCCAGCCUCACCUGUGUGCUCAGCAACCAGGUGGACCAGAAAACUGCCACCUUGGACCUUGGGAAACUCUGUGUCCAUGGUUCACAUGAACAGGUCAGUGCUGACCCCCUGCCAGGCAUCCUAGGGGCUGUCGUGGCUGUGUUAUUGAUCCUUGGAGGUGGACUGUACCUUUGGAAGACAAGUGGGAAAAAGAAGAAGAAGAAGAUGGAGACUAGAAGAGGUACAGAAUUGCAGGAGGACCAAAUGGACAAUGAUGGUAGCAUCGAGUAUGCAGAGCUGAGCCAGCAGGAGCCUCGAGAGGGCACAAACAAGGGCAUUGGUAAACAACAUUCAGAAGAAAAGGAGGCUCUUAAUACUGUCUACAGUGAGGUCCAUAAGCCAGAAAGUGAGGCCAUGAAGAUAAUUUAGUUGGAGGAGGCAGGAGAAUCGGCACUCCUAGGACACCUCCACUCGGAGCUUGAUCCCUGCAGACACCUGCGUCUCCCAGCUCUGGUCCAGCUCUGGCUGCCCCGGUCUGCGUGACUCUGACCCUCCUGCCCUCAACUCCCUGGACACACGUGGCCUUGUCACGUCCUCUGUCACCUCUCCAAAGCUGGCUUCCCACUCAGGGUCCUCACCCUGCAGGAUGAGUGCUCUUCUUCCAUCACUGACUCAGCUCCUGACCACGCUCCUCCUGAAGCUUCCCGAAGAGGACCUUCUUGCAAGUGAUAAUCCCCACGGCAUCUGCGGUGUGGCUGGUGUGAGAACACAAGCCCAUGCGUGGGGAGUGUGUAGAAGAUAUUGACCACACCACAGAGGAGGGGGUUAGGACCCUGGUGCUGGAUGCUGAGUUGGGAGUCCGUGGAGGCCGCAUGGGGAGGUGGGAGCCCACAAAGGACUGGCUCGAGGUUUCCUUUGCACCUUGUAUAGGGCAAAAGGCUGAACAGAAGACUGAAAGAGAAAAAGAUGACAUCUCUCACUGGCAUCCCAGGUAACCAGUCAUGGCUGGGUAUCAGUGCCCAUCAGUCCAGAAAUGGUAAUCGAUCCCUCCCACCCCACCUAAAGCAGAAGA